rfam:Nicotiana attenuata strain TT chromosome 7, whole genome shotgun sequence.
AUUCUGCUAUGAUGACACCUUCGAACUAAUUCCUUAAACCUCUCCCAUGCUUCAAACACAGUUUCAGUCUCGUGAUGGCAGAAGUUAUGGAUUUCUCUUCUAAAACU